GACGAACGCUGGCGGCGUGCUUAACACAUGCAAGUCGAACGGAAAGGCCCUGCUUUUGUGGGGUGCUCGAGUGGCGAACGGGUGAGUAACACGUGAGUAACCUGCCCUUGACUUUGGGAUAACUUCAGGAAACUGGGGCUAAUACCGGAUAGGAGCUCCUGCUGCAUGGUGGGGGUUGGAAAGUUUCGGCGGUUGGGGAUGGACUCGCGGCUUAUCAGCUUGUUGGUGGGGUAGUGGCUUACCAAGGCUUUGACGGGUAGCCGGCCUGAGAGGGUGACCGGCCACAUUGGGACUGAGAUACGGCCCAGACUCCUACGGGGGGCAGCAGUGGGGAAUAUUGCACAAUGGGCGGAAGCCUGAUGCAGCAACGCCGCGUGCGGGAUGACGGCCUUCGGGCUGUAAACCGCUUUCGCCUGUGACGAAGCGUGGGUGACGGUAAUGGGUAAAGAAGCACCGGCUAACUACGU
rnacentral:rRNA from 1 species